GGCCCGGCUUAACUCCGUACUGAGCGCGGUAAUCCAGAGGGGCAAGCGUAAUCGGAAUACUGGCGUAGCGCAGCGAGUCGUUCGUUCAGUCGAAUGUGAAGUCCCUGGCUCCACUGGACUGCAUUCCAAACUUGCAGCUAGAGUUCUGCUAGAGGGUGGGUUAGAAUUCCAUGUGUAGCGUGAAAUUGCGUAGAAGAUCCGGAGGAACUCCAGUUGGCGAGCGCCACCCUGGACUAAAGACUGACGCUAGGUGCGAAAGCGUGGGGGAGCAAACAGGAUUAGAUACCCUGGUAGUCACCGCCGUAAACGAUUGUCGACUAGGCAGUCUGUUCCUUGAGUACUUGGCUGCCGGAGACUAACGCAUUUAAGUCGACGCCUGGGGAGUACGGCCGCAAGGUUAAACUCAAAUGAAUUGACGGGGGCCCGCACAAGCGGUGGAGCAUGUGGUUUAAUUCGAUGCAACGCGAAGAACCUUACCAGACUCUUGACAUGCCAGAGAACUUUCGCAGAGAUGCUUUGGUGCUUCGGGAACUCUGAGACAGGUGCUGCAUGGCUGUCGUCAGCUCGUGUUGUGAAAUGUUGGGUUAAGUCCCGCAACGAGCGCAACCCUUAUCCUUUGUUGCCAGCGGUUCGGCCGGGAACUCAAAGGAGACUGCCAGUGAUAAACUGGAGGAAGGUGGGGAUGACGUCAAGUCAUCAUGGCCCUUACGAGCAGGGCUACACACGUGCUACAAUGGUGGAUACAAAGAGAAGCGAACUCGCGAGGGCAAGCGGACCUCAUAAAGUGCGUCGUAGUCCGGAUUGGAGUCUGCAACUCGACUCCAUGAAGUCGGAAUCGCUAGUAAUCGUAGAUCAGAAUGCUACGGUGAAUACGUUCCCGGGCCUUGUACACACCGCCCGUCACACCAUGGGAGUGGGUGCAAAAGAAGUAACGGAGCUUGUCUUCGUGACGAUGUAGUAGAGAGCGUACUCAC
rnacentral:rRNA from 1 species